rnacentral:lncRNA from 1 species
GGCUGUGACACCCAGAGGAAUUCCUGUGAGAGGAUGGGGAAGGGAUUCGCUCUUAGUUCCUGGGUGCACCCCUCCCCCUCUCCCGUGCACAGGGAAAUGAUGGCGGGAACACAGCAAAGGAGACCAUGUCCUGGAGAGGGUCCCGGGCCCCACCCUCCCCGGGGGGGCUUGUGCAAGGCUGGCGGCCCGAUCUCUGCUGAUUCCAGUAUUGGGGGUGCAGAGAAGGCACAGGACAGUUUUUGUUGAAGCCGUUGCAGCCUCCACUUGGGGAAGCUGAGGCCAGGGGCACAGGACAACGUUGAGGGCCUGAGGCCUCCACCUUCUUGAAGAAGGACCAUGUGAAUUUCCUGACAGAGAACGGGGAUGGGUUUCUGAAAGCACCACCCAGCUGAGCCUGCCGAAACUGCACAGCUGUUUCCAGGCCAGGCUGGCUGCAUGGAGGACGUGAGAGGAACAGCCAGCUGUGUGUGCUGGGCCCACUGAUCAGGGUGCUCAGGACCAGGAGCCUUCUGAGGAUGUGCAGAGGGGACUCUGGGGAGAGGAACAUGGUGGCCACAGCUGGAGUGACCGCAGUGUACAGAGAUGGGAUGGGAGCAGGAAACCCAAAAGAGCCGGCCCUGGAACCAGGUGGAGGGGAGGCAGCCCGGCCAUGACCCAGAGCAGGACACCUGCUCCACUUCACCUUUUGCCAUGAGUAAAAGCUCCCUGAGGCCUCCCAAGAAGUUGAUGCCCUGUGCUUCCUGUACAGCUGCGGAACCGGAUGGCUUUCCGUGGCUUUGCU